ACGGCGUGUAACAAGCAGAUGGAGGAGGACGAAAGAAUGUUGGUGAGGAAUUGGGGAAGUCGCCCUCAUGAACUCAACCUGUAGCUGCCGCAAGAGAUUUCGGUUAGUUACAUCAAGAGUCAGCUAGUCCCUCUCGAUCGAUGAACAACACUUACAGUCGGUGUAAAUCCCGUCCCGCCGGCAUAAGUUUAUACUGACUGACUCCACCUAUACCGAUGGACGGUCCGUCAGACCAACAUGUACCGAAUGGCUAUAGAGGGUGCGAGAGGCCAGGUGUUCGCAAAAGGAUGAAAAGCUAUGAACUCAACAGGAGUUUUGGACUUGCCAACACAGGUUUGAGUAUUUAUUUAUCCCAAUAGAGUGAGUUCUGGGAGGCCACUCCGAGAUGGGUGACAAAGAAGACAUUGGUUCAGCAAGACAUUAAAGCAAGCCAGGGGAGGAAACGAAAGAGUAGGUCGUCCAGGGCCUGUCUGAGCUGCAGCUUUUGAGUUUUUUGAAAAGCUGUUGCUAGCUUGUUGGUUCUAAAAAUCAACAGUAGCUUUUAGAAGAAGUGUAGUUUUCUAGGCUUAAAAAGUUACGAAAAGUUUGGAAAACUGAACUUCUCAGCUUCCCACUUUUCUGAGCUUCUAGCUUUUCAGAAGCUACACGAGAAGUUUAUUAUUUAUUUGAGCUCCUAA